rnacentral:rRNA from 1 species
GUGAGAUGUUGGGUUAACUCCCGCAACGAGCGCAACCCUUGAUCUUAGUUGCCAGCAUUUAGUUGGGCACUUUAAGGUGACUGCCGGUGACAAACCGGAGGAAGGUGGGGAUGACGUCAAAUCAUCAUGCCCCUUAUGACGUGGGCUACACACGUGUUACAAUGGAUGGUACAAAGGGCGCAAGACCGAGAGGUCAAGCCAAUCCUAUAAAACCAUUAUCAGUUAGGAUUGUAGGAUGCAAUUCGCGUACAUGAAGCUGGAAUCGGUAGUAAUCGCGGAUCAGCAUGCCGCGGUGAAUAUGUUCCGGGGCCUUGUACACACCGCCCGUCACACCACGAGUCUUAGAACACCAGAAGAGGUGGCGUAACAGC